AUGGAUUCCCCCCAGCCAAAAACAACAACAACACUUUCGUAUCAUUCCCCUCUCACGGUCAUACCAACAACAACAAAACUUCGUCUCUCGACCUCUGUUCAGACCCUCGUUGAUGAACACACAACAAUUGUUUUGAACAAAAAUAAGAGCAAGCAUACAAAUGGUACCAACAAGGUACCAUAUUGGAGCCUCUCUGAUGGGUUCUUUAAACUCCCAGGGGUGCAAAAAUAA